UGGGUCCACUCUGCGAGAGAUAGGAGGAAAAAGAGGACAGCAGCUCAGAGCCCUCCGUCUACGGCAGUUUGGCCUCAGAUGCGCCCAUGUCCAGCGGCAAGAAGUCAGAGAGACGUCUGCGUCAAAGUCCCGAGAUGCUGCUGACUGGGAAGCUCACACAUGCCCGACGGCCUGUUUGGAGAAUGACCAGUUGAUUGGAAAAAUCCCAAAAAUACUGGCUCUAAACCCCAAAUAAUCCCACGACAAGAUUUUUUUUUUUCUUAACCCUUAAUUAAUUUACAAAUAACAGUUAGUACAGUUAGACCACACUGUGCACUCAGCACGACCAGCUACAGCCCGAGAGCUGCAGGAGGCCAGACAGACUUUCUACAGGUCUCAGGUAAUAAAACUGCCUCUGAAAAAAAUGUCAGUAAAAUCGAGUAAAUGUGUUCCUGGAACGAAAUUUAAAACAAAACAAACAAACUGUAGCUUUGGUUUUAAAGUUGUUCGGUUUACAAUCGGGGAAAAAAACAACAUUAGCAUGACAAUUAAACAGUUAGUCAGGUGUUUUAUCAGGCAGCCAGGUUGUUUGUUUGACAAACAACUCGCCACUGAUCAAAUGUGCAGUGCAAAAAAAUGGCCUACAAGCGUAGGCCUUUUCUAAAAUAUAAAAACUACAUUAAAAAAAAGGACAUUCCUCUUAUGAGUGCAUUUACCUGCUAAACACCUUUGUAAUGAAACUGUGAUGAAAAUUGAAAGAUAAACACUAAUUUCACAAGAAUUUACUCAUAGAUUGAAUCCAUCUUCAUGAAGAAUUAAAAAAAAAAAAAAGAUAAUAAUAACAGAAUUACACCCGGGCUUCAUGUUGGCGAGCAUUAAAAUGUUUAAUACACACAAAAAAAGCGUGACAGAAGCCUUAAUAAUUAAAGUAUGGAAUAAAAACUGUGAAGUUGUUUGAUAAAUCAAGAGUAACUUCCAGAAGUCUGAUCACCGUCGCGACAACAAUCGGCCAAAUUCUUUGAAAUGUGCUCAUUAGAAAUCUGUGCACUGAAACAUUGAUGCUACAUAGAGGAACCCACUUGCAUUUGUCUAUUAAUGUGGCUUAAAUAAUAAUUCAUACUCCCUCCUCCUGAUGCUGAUGCACCAUAUGCUUGUAGCAGCUGACCCCGUUUAAAUUAGGCAACAAUUCCCAUGUUUUUCUAAAAAUAAUGCUGAUGAAAAUGUGGACUCUCAAUUCUCCCAACCAGAAAAAAAAACUAUUGUGUUUAUGAAAUGAAAACCAUCACGGCCAUUCAUUUGUUGAAUUUUGUCAUAAAAACCUGGACUUCUAUUAUUAAAACAAAAUUUAAAAAAGGAGCCACCCGCAGAAAACUUUAUGUGCUCUGUUCCUUUUCAGUGUUCCUUGGAAGAAAACACAAAACAUUAAACUUAAAAAAAAAAAAAAAAAAA